rnacentral:snRNA from 1 species
GGAUGUGAGGGCGAUCUGGCUGUGACGUCUGUCACCCCAUUGAUCGCCAGGGUUGAUUCAGCUGAUUUGGCUGGCUAGGUGGGUGUCCCCUUCCUCCCUCACCGCUCCAUGUGUGUCCCUCCUGAAGCUGCACACUCAGUCGAAGAGGAUAAAGGUCAAGGGUAUAUGAGUAGCUGCACUCCCCUGCUAGAACCUCCAAAAAAGCUCUCAAGAAUAGGGAACCUUCUAAUGGAGGAGAUCGGAUACAGAACUCUGGUGGUGGGAAUUAUACCUCCGUUACCCCACAAUCU